rnacentral:SRP_RNA from 1 species
CAUUGGUCCCCUCGCAAUGAUGAUCUGUAAACCCCGCCAGGCCCGGAAGGGAGCAACGGUAGCAGUGAAUUCAUGUGCCGGGGUGCGGCUGAUGGGG